GACGAACGCUGGCGGCGUGCUUAACACAUGCAAGUCGAACGAAGUGGCGAACGGGAGAGUAACGCGUAAUCAACCUGCCCUUCAGAGGGGGACAACAGUUGGAAACGACUGCUAAUACCGCAUACUGAAGGAGGGGAUUGCGGCGGAUUAGCUAGUUGGAGGGGUAAAGGCCCACCAAGGCGAUGAUCAGUAGCCGGUCUGGCAAGGUGAACGGCCACAAUGGGACUGGAGCACGGCCCAGGCUCCUACGGGAGGGAGCAGGGGGGAAUCUUCCGCAAUGGACGAAAGUCUGACGGAGCAACGCCGCGGUAGUGAUGACGGGCUUCGGGUUGGAAAGCUCUGUUAAUCAGGACGCGGUACCGGAAUAGAAAGCCACGGCUAACUACGUGCCAGCAGCCGCGGUAAUUC
rnacentral:rRNA from 1 species